GAUGAACGCUGGCGGCGUGCUUAACACAUGCAAGUCGAACGGAAAGGCUCCUGCUUGCAGGGGUACUCGAGUGGCGUACGGGUGAGUAACACGUGGGUGAUCUGCCCUGCACUUCGGGAUAAGCCUGGGAAACUGGGUCUAAUACCGGAUAGGACGAUGGUUUGGAUGCCAUUGUGGAAAGUUUUUCGGUGUGGGAUGAGCUCGCGGCCUAUCAGCUUGUUGGUGGGGUAAUGGCCUACCAAGGCGUCGACGGGUAGCCGGCCUGAGAGGGUGGACGGCCACAUUGGGACUGAGAUACGGACCAGACUGCUACGGGAGGCAGCAGUGGGGAAUAUUGCACAAUGGGCGCAAGCCUGAUGCAGCGACGCCGCGUGGGGGAUGACGGCCUUCGGGUUGUAAACUCCUUUCGCUAGGGACGAAGCGCAAGUGACGGUACCUGGAGAAGAAGCACCGGCUAACUACGUG
rnacentral:rRNA from 1 species